GCCAUGGGAGCACCGAAGGCGGGGCCGGUCGCGCCCUCCUGCCUGGCCCCGACCCCGACCCGACCCGCCCCUCCGGCGGCAAAGCGGGCACGUGAAAUAGCUGCACACCGGGUCUGAGCACCAGGCCUCUGGUCCUGGAGCCUGGGAGUCUCAGUGCAGGCUGCUCUCGGAGCUCCGGCGUUUCCCCUCUGCAGAGUAGAGGCGACUUUGGAAAGUCGCAGCCAUUGGGCAAGCUGCUGAUGUUGGUCUUGACUCGGAAAGCGGCCGCGGAUCUUUACCACUGGGCUGAGCUUGGAAAAGCCUUGGGAUGUGCCAUCCCAGAACUGGGCAGAAAACCCCUUACCUCACUCCUGUCCUCAACAAUUUAGAAUCCAGAGCCCAGACAAAGAUGUUUAAUUCUCCAAUCAAUGUCCAUGGGAAAAACAGCACUCUGUGUGAGCCUUCUGUCUCCUUUCUUCACCUACCUUCAACGUCAUUCAGCCCUCUGCACCAUUGCCCCUCGUUCUUACUGUAAUGCAUUUUUCAGUCAUGCCAAUCCCUCAACUUCAGAACAAAAUUCAACUCCUUAGCACAGCACACCUGGCCCCGAACUACUUCUCAGACACUUAUUCCCCUCUUUCUUUUAUGGUUCUAGUGUUUAUUUAUUUAUAGGGAAGCCCCCACAAAGUCUAGAUCGGACUGUCUAGAACUUUCCGCAGCAGUGGAAACGUUCUCGUUGUGCUCUGUCCAGCAUGGUAGCCACCAGCCGGCUGUAGCUAAUGAGCACUGGAGAUGUUGCAAGUGCAACCGAGGAAGUGAAUUGUUAAUGUUAUUUCAUUUUAAUUAAUUUAGCUCACAUUGCUUGUAACUAUUGUGUCACACACUGCCCAACUGGGCCAUUAAAUUUUAGUCUUGCUGUCGUGUCUGUUGCCAGGAUCUUUUAUGUAAGUUUUUAAAGGGUUUAUAUAUGCCUCAUGUACCCAUACCUGAUUAAAGUGCAUAAUGGCACACAAAUGCAUGCAGGCAAAACACC